rnacentral:tRNA from 3 species
CGGGCCGUCGUAUAAUGGUAGUACGCAAGGCUGGGGGUCUUGUGGCGAGAGUUCGAUUCUCUCCGGCCCGACAA